UAUCAGCAGGAGAAGAAGAGAAACUCCCAUCACUUUCAGCACCAACAUGUUCUCUGUAGCUCUGCUGUUACUGCUGGCUGCUGCAUCCUAUGUGAAGUGUGAACAGCUGACCCAGCCAGCCUCUGUGACUCUGCAGCCAGGUCAACGUCUGACCAUCAGCUGUCAGGUCUCUUAUUCUCUGGGCAGCUACUACACAGCUUGGAUCAGACAGCCUGCUGGGAAAGGACUGGAGUGGAUUGGGAUGAAAUACACUGGAGAUUCAUUCUACAAAGAUUCACUUCGGAACAAAUUCAGUAUCGACUUAGACACUUCCAGUAAAACAGUGACUCUGAAUGGACAGAAUAUGCAGCCUGAAGACUCUGCUGUGUAUUACUGUGCCAGAGAGUCACAGUGACACAAACCAGCUGCAGAGCUGAACAAAAACCCUUCAGAACAUAAACAGAUU